AAAAUACAAAAAUUUGCUGAAUGUGGCGGCACGUGCCUGUAAUCCCAGCUACUUGGGAGGCUGAGGCAGGAGAAUCACUUGAACCUGGGAGGCGGAGGCUGCAGUGAGCCAAGAUCGCGCCACUGCACUCCAGCCUGGGCUACAGCGUGAGACUCUGUGUCUCAAACAAACAAACAAACAAAGUUUGAAACCACUGUGUUCAUCUCACACCUUGCAGAGAGAUAUAUGCCCAGGAUGGGGCUGAAUAAAAAGCUAAUAAUAAUAGCCACCACCUGUGGAGAGCUUCUCUUGGACCACGCAUUCUGCUAAGUCCUUCUCUUGUAUGAGGACCAGUUGUGCCCAGAGAACCUUCUCUGUCUCCUCUAACCAUGGGAUAAAAGGAGAUUUCCACAAGAGCGGCUCAGGGACGCAGCCCAUCUCUUAAGAAGGAGGCUCUGAGAGGUGAGUCCAAGGGUGUCUGUUCUGUGCGAUUUUGAGGCUCUGCAGGAAAAAAUCCUUAGCAGAAUCCGAAGGGAUGGAGUCAGGACCAAGUGACUUUGAGGGCCAAAAGGGAAAGUGGGAGGUCCGUGGUUUAAGGACAGCAGAGUCAAGGAUGAAAAGAUGCCUCCUUGCGAUAGUCCCCAGGUUAGUUCUUUUUGAAAUGAGUUUUUAGCCCCGAUGUGACUGAGAAGUAAGGGGCGAAUCUGUGCAAACACCGCGUUGUGUCCGCCCGGCUCCCAGUGCUCCCAGGUCUUUCUGGAGCAGAGCGGUUUCUGCGCAUCACGGUCCCACCAUCUGGAUAAGAGGAGGUCCCGAGCCUGAGCUACUCUGGGGGCCUCUGGGUGCCCGGGGCCAGCGUCAUCGGCUGACACUGCCACCUGUUCUCAUGUCCCUUUUUGUUUCUUUUCCAGGGACAAGACCAUGGAUGCAGCACAUGGCCACAAGGCAGUUUCAAGAUGCCCAUGUCAGGCAGAGGAUGGCUCAGUGGUCUCUAACCCACCUAACAUUUCAUGAACUUUACUCCUGGUCCCGCUCCCAAAUUAGACACUGGAGAUAAUGGAUCACUAUACUGCACUGAAGACUCGGAGGGGUUGAGCCGCUGGAGCCACGCAAAUUCAGACACCUCUUCCGCCCCAGCACAGGUGUCAUUUCUGAGCAGGGAAGGUGUGAUCUGGGGCCAGAAUGAAUGGCCCUGGUGACUUCUUACCUGAUUCAUCCCACACCAGUCAGAAGGGGCUGUGAAGGCAGCAGCGAAGGAGCCACACAUGGACGUGGAAUGGGCACGCUGACCAUCAUGGUCACGACUGCAAGAAAGCAGGGCUGCGUGGGUUAAUUGGCUGUGUCUGAGGGUCACCCCUGCACAAGGAGGAUGAUGACGACUGCCCUGUGCAACCCUGGGUCAUCUCAGGGGAGAGCCAUUCCCAGGUUCACAGCAAGCACUCUUUUACUCAGAUGGGCCACCUGCAUCAGGCCCCAAGGAAGCACUUAUUAGUAGAAGAAAAAAAACAAAAACCCAGAAAACAGCCAGUGAGACUAUUUUACAAACAAGCGAAGAGCAGCAACUGAAAGCAACAAUAACUACAACAUAAAUCCCUCUGCAAAUAUUUGGGAUUUCAUUUCCACUAAGGAUAAUGAUGGCGUAGAAGGCAUGUCUGUGGGAGUUAUGCACACAGGGAAAAAGGUGGUGAAAAUAAUCAACCAAAAAUAACAAAAUUCAAUUAAUCAAAACAGAACAAAAUAAAAUGAGCCAAACAGCAUAUCUGAAUAUAAGCAUAAUAAUUGUCGUUGGACAAACCUUUGUCAAAUCAAAUUGGCUUCUAGCACACGGGCUGAUACUUUGUGAUUCAAGUGGUGUUCUACCCACAUAAUUCAUUUAGUUGCAAAGAAUGUAACAAAUAAUGCAAUUAUUCCAGAGGAUCACGGUGAGACAUCUAUUUGGUGGUGCCUUAAGCAGAGUGCCCUGAUUCAGAAGAAUUAGACCAAUCUCUGGAUUCACAGCCACUCAUGAAAACUGUAGGCCGGGCACGGUGGCUCAUGCCUGUAAUCCCAGCACUUUGGGAGGCCAAGGCGGGUGGAUCACGAGGUCAGGUGAUCGAGACCAUCCUGGCUAACAUGGUGAAACCCCGUCUCUACCAAAAAUACAAAAAGAAAUUAGCUGGGAGUGGUGGCGGGCACCUGUAGUCCCAGCUACUCGGGAGGCUGAGGCAGGAGAAUCGCUUGAACCCAGGAGGUGGAGGUUGCCGUGAGCCGAGAUCACGCUACUGCACUCCAAUCUGGGUGACCGAGCAAUACUCCGUCUAAAAAAAAAAAGUAAUAAUAAUAAUAAAAUAGGAAACUGCAGUAACUCGGGACAUCUGGGUUCCUUGUCUUUUGUCAAAAUCACAGGGAAUUCAACUCACUGAAUCUAUUGGUCAAUUCAAUUCCGCCAUUGGUCAGUAUGACUCGGCUUUUGACAGAGAGUUUUACCCAAAGACUUGCAGAACUUCCUUCCUGCAAGAUUUCAGAAGCACAGCAAGCAUUGCAAGAGGAAACUACCUUAUAAAUCAUACAAACCCAGCAUCGUGUUCUUUGCUUGUCCUUGCCUGAAUUUACUGGAAAAUCAUGUUGUGAAACCUAAAUGCAAAUGAACCUUUCUUAUUGCAAAUUAAAAACUAAAUCCAUUUUCAACUGAAUUCAAUGGGAAAAACAAGAAUUAUUUUCCUAAAAAGUAAAUAUCCACCACUCCGUAAUAAUUGUGAUCCGCUGUGGCUUAUGUGUCGUGUCUCAGGACAUGGACUCGGUCCUCUGCAUACCUUACCUCUCAUCCUGCAAUAAUCCUGAACAGGUUCCCAUUAUCCCCAUUUUAGAGGAUUACAGCACAAUUUGUAGCUGGAGUGCUUCUGAAUUGCGAGAAAGCCCU
rnacentral:lncRNA from 1 species